UACGUAGGGUGCAAGCGUUGUCCGGAAUUAUUGGGCGUAAAGAGCUCGUAGGCGGUCUGUCGCGUCGGCUGUGAAAACCCGGAGCUCAACUCCGGGCCUGCAGUCGAUACGGGCAGACUGGAGUUCGGCAGGGGAGACUGGAAUUCCUGGUGUAGCGGUGAAAUGCGUAGAUAUCGGGAGGAAUACCAGUGGCGAAGGCGGCUUGACUGGCCCAUUCCUGGAC
rnacentral:rRNA from 1 species